rnacentral:rRNA from 1 species
CAUGCAUGUAUAAGUAUAAACGCUUUAAGCGUGAAACUGCGUACGGCUCAUUACAACAGCAAUAAUUUACUUGAUCUUGACAACCUACAUGGAUAACUGUGGUAAUUCUAGAGCUAAUACAUGCACCAAAGCUCCGACCCGCGAGGGGAGAGCGCAUUUAUUAGAACAAAACCAAGCGGCUUCGGCCGUCCAUUGUUGACUCAGAAUAACUAAGCUGAUCGUACGGUCUUGUACCGACGACGUGUCUUUCAAGUUUCUGCCUUAUCAACUUUCGAUGGUAGUGUAUCUGACUACCAUGGUGGUGACGGGUAACGGAGGAUAAGGGUUCGACUCCGGAGAAGGGGCCUGAGAAAUGGCCACUACGUCUAAGGAUGGCAGCAGGCGCGCAAAUUACCCACUCUCAAUGCGAGGAGGUAGUGACGAGAAAUAACGAGGCCGUUCUCUUUGAGGCCGGUCAUCGGAAUGGGUACAAUUUAAACCCUUUAACGAGUAUCUAUGAGAGGGCAAGUCUGGUGCCAGCAGCCGCGGUAAUUCCAGCUCUCAAAAUGCAUAGAAUUAUUGCUGCGGUUAAAAAGCUCGUAGUUGGAUCUGUGCCUGUGCUCCGGUCCACCUCGCGGUGCGCACUGGGUGUCACAGGCUUUCCUGCAGUGUUCAGCCCCGGCGCCUUCACCGGCACCGGUGUGUUGAUGCUGCAAGUUUACUUUGAACAAAUCGGAGUGCUCCAAACAGGCGUUUGCUUGAACGUUCGUGCAUGGAAUAAUAGAAGAGGAUUUCGGUUCAAUUUUAUUGGUUUUAUUGGCCGAGAUAAUGGUUAACAGAGACAAACGGGGGCAUUUGUAUUGCU